UACGUAGGGGGCUAGCGUUGUCCGGAAUCAUUGGGCGUAAAGAGCGUGUAGGCGGCUUGGUAAGUCCGCUGUGAAAGUCCAGGGCUCAACCCUGGAAUGCCAGUGGAUACUGUCAAGCUAGAGUCCGGAAGAGGCGAGUGGAAUUCCUGGUGUAGCGGUGAAAUGCGCAGAUAUCAGGAGGAACACCGGUGGCGAAGGCGGGUCGCUGGCUCGAUACUGACGCUGAGGUGCGAAAGCGUGGGUAGCAAACAGG
rnacentral:rRNA from 1 species